CAUAGAUACACUACUACAACCAUUGGUAAUAAAAAAUCCUUCACACUUAAAAGACACUAUCUACACUCUACAGUUACUCAACAACAUACAAUGGGACUCAAAUUUCCAUCUGGUCACCAGCGACGUAACAUCCCUAUAUACCAUCAUCCCUCAUGAAAUAGGAAUUAGGGCUGUACAAUAUUUUCUACACAAAUCUGAUUUCCAUGACGACCAAAUCCAGUUUAUUCUGGAAGGCAUUUACCUCAUUCUCAC